AAGGGUAGACCUCCCACCCUUGUGUAUUAUUACUUUGUUGCUUUGGCGAGCUGCCUUCGGGCCUUGUAUGCUCGCCAGAGAAUACCAAAACUCUUUUUAUUAAUGUCGUCUGAGUACUAUAUAAUAGUUAAAACUUUCAACAACGGAUCUCUUGGUUCUGGCAUCGAUGAAGAACGCAGCGAAAUGCGAUAAGUAAUGUGAAUUGCAGAAUUCAGUGAAUCAUCGAAUCUUUGAACGCACAUUGCGCCCCUUGGUAUUCCGGGGGGCAUGCCUGUUCGAGCGUCAUUUCAACCCUCAAGCUUAGCUUGGUAUUGAGUCUAUGUCAGUAAUGGCAGGCUCUAAAAUCAGUGGCGGCGCCGCUGGGUCCUGAACGUAGUAAUAUCUCUCGUUACAGGUUCUCGGUGUGCUUCUGCCAAAACCCAAAUUUUUCUAUGGUUGACCUCGGAUCAGGUAGGGAUACCCGCUGAACUUAAGCAUAUCAAUAAGCGGAGGAA
rnacentral:rRNA from 1 species